rnacentral:rRNA from 1 species
ACCAUCCCAGUUCGGAUUGCAGGCUGCAACCCGCCUGUAUGAAGUUGGAAUCGCUAGUAAUCGCGGAUCAGCAUGCCGCGGUGAAUACGUUCCCGGGCCUUGUACACACCGCCGUCACACCAUGAGAGUCGGGAACACCCGAAGUCCGUAGCCUAACCGCAAGGAGGGCGCGGCCGAAGGUGGGUUCGAUAAUUGGGGUGAAGUCGUAACAAGGUAAC